rnacentral:misc_RNA from 1 species
CAUUUGUCGUCACUGGAAUUAGGUGUAGGAGUCGACCAUCAUCUUACCCUCGUGUUAGAAGCAGCUUCGAAAAGCUCUACGGUUACAACUUGUCAAGUAAAUAUGGCGGACAAUGACCCACAAAACAAUGCAGAAGCUGAUCCUGAGGAAGUAGAAACAGAUGUUGAUGAAGGAUCAGAAGAUGCUCCACAAACUGGAUCUACAGACGUUGCUUGUGAAUGGAUGCAAAAUCCUUUUGAAUUGGCUGCUCUGCAAGAUAAGCUAGGCAGUCUUAUUGGUACUCCAUCCACUUAUAUUCAAAGUUUACCUAAAUGUGUUAAGCGGAGAAUAAAAGCCUUAAAGAAACUCCAAUUUGAAACAACUAAGAUUGAAUCUGAUUUCUAUGAAGAACUUCACUCGUUGGAAUGCAAAUUUGCUGAGAAAUAUGCUCCAUUCUAUGAUAAAAGAAAAGAUAUUGUGAAUGCUAAUGUUGAACCCACAGACGAAGAAUGUGAUUGGUCGAGUGACGAAGAAUUAGCAGAUGAUAUGCGAAAUAAAGCUGCAGUUGAGGAUAAGCCAGAACAAAAAGAACCUGAGGUAGAGGUUUUAGAUGAAAAUACAAAAGGUAUUCCUCAUUUCUGGUUGACGGUCUUCAAGAAUGUAGAUAUUCUUUCAGAAAUGGUUCAGGAACAUGAUGAACCUAUUCUGAAACAUCUUAUUGAUAUAAAGUGUGUUUUCUCAGAGAAAGACCCAAUGGGUUUCACCUUACAAUUCUACUUUGAACCAAAUGAUUAUAUCAAGAAUAGUGUAUUAACAAAGAAAUAUAUUAUGAAAUCAGAGCCUGAUGUAAAUGAUCCUUUCUCUUUUGAAGGCCCAGAAAUAAUAAAAUGUGUUGGUUGUCCAAUAGAAUGGAAAAAGGGAAAAGAUGUUACUGUGAAAGUGUUGAAGAAAAAACUGAAGCAUAAAGGUAGAGGAACGACAAGGACUGUUACAAAAACUGUAGAAAUUGAUUCCUUUUUCAAUUUCUUCAAUCCUCCUACAGUUCCUGCUGAUGAAUCAGAGCUGGAUGAGAAUGCUGAAACAAUUUUGGCAACAGAUUUUGAAGUUGGGCACUUUAUACGAGAAAGAAUCAUCCCAAAGGCUGUUUUGUAUUUUACUGGCGAAGCAUUGGAAGAAGAUGAAGAUUAUGAAGAGGAAGGUGAUGAAGAGGAGUUUUAGAUGCAGACAAAUAGGGGAUAGGGAACACUAUAUACUUGUUGGAUCUUCAUAGUUGUGUGAAGAUGACAGUGAAACUUCUUUACAAUCUAUUCAUGAAGGUGACGAGUAUGAUGGAGAAAAUGACCCAGACUAUAAUCCUGAGUCCGAUCAAGGGAAGAAGGACUGUAAGCAACAAUGAACCAG